ACUCAAAUGAAUUGACGGGGGCCCGCACAAGCAGCGGAGCGUGUGGUUUAAUUCGAGGCUACACGAAGAACCUUACCUGGGUUUGACAUAUACGUAGUAGGGAACUGAAAAGGGACCGACCUUCGGGAGCGUAUACAGGUGCUGCAUGGCUGUCGUCAGCUCGUGCCGUGAGGUGUUCGGUUAAGUCCGCAAACGAGCGCAACCCCUGGUGCUAGUUACAAGUGUCUAGCGCAACUGCCCGUGAGAAACGGGAGGAAGGUGGGGAUGACGUCAAGUCAGCAUGGCCUUUAUAUCCAGGGCUACACACACGCUACAAUGGGCGGUACAAUGGGUCGCGAAGCCGCGAGGCGGAGCCAAUCCUGAAAGCCGUUCGUAGUUCGGAUUGCAGGCUGCAACUCGCCUGCAUGAAGUCGGAGUUGCUAGUAACCGCAGGUCAGCUAUACUGCGGUGAAUACGUUCCCGGGCCUUGUACACACCGCCCGU
rnacentral:rRNA from 1 species